UUGACAUUUGUGUCGAGCAACAUUUCAACAACGCGACGCUCAUAAAAAUAAACACCAAAUAUUACGAGAAACAUUUGAUAAGCCCUAAAAAAUCCUAAAUGCUACUGGUUGGUUGAUUUUAUGGCAGAAAAACUUAAAUGGGGGCGAAGAAACAAGCAAAGAUAAUAAACAAUAAGAACAUCAAUCAAAACUGAAUUGCAUAUAGAAAGUACUGAGUGGCAGUCCGUUGCGUUCGUCACCCACAGGAGUAAUAUUUAUUUUUGUAUAGAUACAGACCCCGCAGUAACACCGGGGAAAAACGCGAAUUUGAUACUAGAAUCCCCCGGCUUAUCGACUGCAGGGUCCUGGAGGAAUAUUGGAAGAGGAAUAUAGGAAGGAAAGGAGGAGGGACCAUCUUAGGAUGUUCGGAGCGGAAUAGGAAGAGAAAUGUUCGCGAGUCCCUCAUAGACAUUAAUGUGUACUUACAAUCAUGAGAAUUACUUACUAUUCCUCGCCUGUUUCGAAGGCAGCAGCGUCGCGAGCUUCGCAGCAUCAGCCCUCUGCAGGUUAUCGAAGAGUUCCUGCUCCC